CGGCAAACUCCGUGCCAGCAGCCGCGGUAAUACGGAGGGGGCAAGCGUUGUUCGGAAUUAUUGGGCGUAAAGGGCAUGUAGGCGGUUCGGUAAGUUAAAGGUGAAAUGCCAGGGCUUAACCCUGGAGCUGCUUUUAAUACUGCCAGACUAGAGUCCGGGAGAGGAUAGCGGAAUUCCUAGUGUAGAGGUGAAAUUCGUAGAUAUUAGGAGGAACACCAGUGGCGAAGGCGGCUAUCUGGUCCGGUACUGACGCUGAGGUGCGAAAGCGUAGGGAGCAAACAGGAUUAGAUACCCUGGUAGUCCAC
rnacentral:rRNA from 1 species